ensembl:lncRNA
GGGGGGGGUCAGAGGUCGGGGUGGGGGGCAUAACAACGUCCUCUAGUGAAAGCUGCUGUUUUCUGAUGUUGACGUUUGGAUAAAAGAGUCGCGCUGCACGCGGUGGGACGCGGCCAGAACAAAGAGCCAGAGUGCAGUAUUUCCUGUGAGGGGAAACUUUAGAUACUAUUUCAAAUACUCCUCUCUUCUCCUCUUUGUGCGUACUCUGCGUUUCCUCGUCCUCGCUCUUCUGUUCGCGCCGUCGGCCCAAAUGAAAGAUGAAUGUACGGCACUGAGAAUAUAAAGAAUAUAAAUAAUAAAACUAAUCAAAGACGCAACGUUUUAUUUAAGUUUUGUUUUACCGAAGCUUUUGCCAAUACUGUGUGCCUCAAACACACUCGUUCAUUCCUCUUGUUGUUGUUGUUGUUGUUGCCUUGUACAGUAUACGAGCUGAGAAGAGAUGUUUCAGAAAGGGAAGUGAAUAUUACAUUUUUGUAAAAGCUGGGAAUCAUUAUAUUAUUAUUAUUAUUAUUAUCAUCUUUGUGUCUGUUCGGUGUCUUUUUCUUUCCCGGAUGGUUCUCACCAAAAAAACGAGUGGAUUUAAAAGUGUCCCUGAAGCACAUUUAUUUGAUCUUUGAUAUUUCUCCUCCGAUCGCCACAUUGCACACGUUGUCUUCUUUCUUUUGUCGCUAUUUAUGUUACGUCCUUUUAGCAUGUCCUGGAAUGCCAUGUUCUUAGUACUUCUGACACUUGGUAGUGUGAUACGUUUUAUAAUAAAUUCUUUUCCUAACAUGGUUACUUCAUUGAUUAUUGUUAAAUGAAAUGUUACAGGUCUUUGUAGACGUGGCGAAACAAUUAAAACAAAGUCAACAAAAAUGCAUUUCUCUCCCAAUAGUUCACUUUUUCCUCUGAUAUUUUCUUGUCUUCUUCCCAAUUACUGAAAUGAUUUGAAAAGUCAAAUGAAACAAAUAGAAAUUCAAUUUAAGCAACUGCUGACAAAUGUCUAAGUUCAAAGAUCCAACAUGUUGAGUAAAAGAUCAGAACACAGAUCAAUAGUUCGAUCACUUUCUCCGCCUUUUAUUCUCUGUACGAGGGACAAACAAAACAACAUCCUGUUUCUGUUGUCGUCCGGAUUAGAUUCUAAGUUCAUCGUCUGAUCUCUCAUCUGAUUUGUUUGUGAUUAGAUGAAUAUAUCAAAUAGACAUUGGAGCCGUUGGUGUUUUAUUUUUUAUUUCACUGUAAACGAGAGCCAAUGACGUUCCCCGUGCCAUUUAUGAUAUUUUAGAAUAUUUUUUUACAAAUGAAAAAUUAGUGUAAUUAUCUUUUAACAUGACAUUUUAUGCCACUGAAUUUUCUUUUCUUCCUUUUUUACACAUUAAAGAAAGAAAUACUCUGCCCCUUAAAUAAAAGAUUCUACCCUUAAUUUUUUCCUAUCUUGUUUUAUAAUUAUUUACAAAUUAUAUAUCGUUAUAUUUUUGUGGUGGAAACUAACGAGUUUGGUCUGAAAUGAUUGUGUUUACAAAAUCAAAGAAUAAAGAAAAGACAAAACACUUG